CUACUACUCCCUCCGUCCGGAAAUACUUGUCAUUGAAAUGGAUGUAUCUAGAUGUAUUUUAGUUCUAGACACAUCCAUUUUGAUGACAAGUAAUUUCGGACGGAGGGAGUAUUAU
rnacentral:pre_miRNA from 1 species